rnacentral:rRNA from 1 species
ACCAGAAGACGUCAGAGCCAACCCGCAAGGGAGGUGGACGGCCACGGUAUGACCGAUGAUUGGGGUGAAGUCGUAACAAGGUAGCCGUAGGUGAACCUGCAGAAAGAUCA